rnacentral:lncRNA from 1 species
AAACCGAACUCGAAACUUCACUAACGAGGCAGCUUAUUUUCUAAUCCCAGUCAGCAUUGUAGGGCACCGAGCGACUUCUUGGCAGAUACUGCAUCUUCAGCCAGGAGAAGUUGGCUUAGUACAAAAGGGCUUUUGAAGCGGAAACUACAAGAAGAUGCAUCUGUCUUAAAAAAUAAUAAACCAAGAAAAUAAAAGAUAUGGGAUCCUAGAAAUAAAAGGUGCAACACGAGAGAGAGAUAAAGAAAAACAUUGACAACCUCUCUAUGAAGAAAGACCCAAAAUAACAACUUUGCAACAGCUCUAGAGAAUAAUUUGUUCAGAUAAGAGUAACUCAGGAGACUCCAAGAGCAAUUUUCAAGAAGAUUAAAUCUAUAGAAUACCUAAUAUGUUUGCAUGUGUAGAGAAGAGAUUUAUACUACUUGGAGAGAAUUUAGCAGUUCAUCUAUGAAUAUCAUUUGCAUAGAUACAGUGUUCGCUAAAUAUUUCUAUAGCCUAAGGAAGAUGGUGAAUGAGAAGUGUGCUUGUGUGUGGCAAGGAAGAAGAGGAUUUACCAAGUGGGAAUCCAUGGUCAAAUGCUUAAGACU